UUUUUCUGAGUGCUCUUCUCAGCUUCUCUCCCCUCUGCUUCUUUCUCCCCUCCUCUCCCCUCCCCUCUGCUCCCCUUCUCUCCCUCCUUCCCUGGCAGCCCCCCACCUUCUCCCCUUUUUCUUCUUCCUUCCCUCUUCUCCUCUCCCCCCAGCUCCCUCCUCCUCCCCCUCCUGUACCUUCUCUCUCCCCCUCCCUCUGCAGCGCCCCCUACCUCCUCCUACCGCUCCUCAGCCCUCAGAAACCCUCUUCCCACUCCCUCCUCCUGCACUCCAACGCCUGCUGUGUGGACAGGGUGCAGCACCCCAGGGAGAGCAGGAUUAGGCAGCUGGGGGACCCCCUGGACCAGGAGUCCACUGGCGGGAGAAGGGUGACUUUGCACCUAGAGAUGGUGCAGAAGCAGAGUGUGGGGCGCCCCGGGCUCAGUCGUUUUGCAAAGCUGUGCACCACCAGCCUCUGUUGGAUUCAUUUUCUGUCAUCCAUGAUGGUGUCGUCACGAUCAUCAGUCACAAAGUGUCCCUGAGCAGCACACGGCCCCGCCUGCCACUUGUCAUCGAGUUCCCAGUGAUUUUCACCCCCAGAGAAUAAAUUGCAU
rnacentral:lncRNA from 1 species